rnacentral:rRNA from 1 species
UGUGCCAGCCGCCGCGGUAAUACGUAGGCUGCGAGCGUUGUCCGGAAUUAUUGGGCGUAAAGAGCUUGUAGGCGGUUUGUCGCGUCUGCUGUGAAAGCCCGGGGCUUAACCCCGGGUCUGCAGUGGGUACGGGCAGGCUAGAGUGUGGUAGGGGAGACUGGAAUUCCUGGUGUAGCGGUGGAAUGCGCAGAUAUCAGGAGGAACACCGAUGGCGAAGGCAGGUCUCUGGGCCACUACUGACGCUGAGAAGCGAAAGCGUGGGGAGCGAACA